rnacentral:rRNA from 1 species
CCUACGGGAGGCAGCAGUGAGGAAUAUUGGUCAAUGGGCGGAAGCCUGAACCAGCCAAGUAGCGUGCAGGAUGACGGCCCUACGGGUUGUAAACUGCUUUUAUACGGGAAUAACGCGCCUUACGUGUAGGGCUUUGCAUGUACCGUAUGAAUAAGCACCGGCUAAUUCCGUGCCAGCAGCCGCGGUAAUACGGAAGGUCCGGGCGUUAUCCGGAUUUAUUGGGUUUAAAGGGAGCGUAGGCCGCAUGUCAAGCGUGCUGUGAAAUGUCCGGGCUCAACCCCGGCCUGGCCGCGGGAACUGGCUUGCUUGAGUCCGCGGAAAGCAGGCGGAAUGCGUGGUGUAGCGGUGAAAUGCUUAGAUAUGACGAAGAACCCCGAUUGCGAAGGCAGCUUGCUGCAGCGGAACUGACGCUGAUGCUCGAAAGCGCGGGUAUCGAACAGGAUUAGAUACCCGUGUAGUC